ACCUACGGGAGGUGGCAGUAGGGAAUCUUCCACAAUGGGCGAAAGCCUGAUGGAGCAACGCCGCGUGGGUGAAGAAGGUCUUCGGAUCGUAAAACCCUGUUGUUAGAGAAGAAAGUGCGUGAGAGUAACUGUUCACGUUUCGACGGUAUCUAACCAGAAAGCCACGGCUAACUACGUGCCAGCAGCCGCGGUAAUACGUAGGUGGCAAGCGUUAUCCGGAUUUAUUGGGCGUAAAGGGAACGCAGGCGGUCUUUUAAGUCUGAUGUGAAAGCCUUCGGCUUAACCGGAGUAGUGCAUUGGAAACU
rnacentral:rRNA from 1 species